rnacentral:rRNA from 1 species
GACGAACGCUGGCGGCGUGCCUAAUACAUGCAAGUAGAACGCUGAAGGAGGAGCUUGCUUCUCUGGAUGAGUUGCGAACGGGCGAGUAACGCGUAGGUAACCUGCCUGGUAGCGGGGGAUAACUAUUGGAAACGAUAGCUAAUACCGCAUAAUAGUAGAUGUUGCAUGACAUUUACUUAAAAGGUGCAAUUGCAUCACUACCAGAUGGACCUGCGUUGUAUUAGCUAGUUGGUGGGGUAACGGCUCACCAAGGCGACGAUACAUAGCCGACCUGAGAGGGUGAUCGGCCACACUGGGACUGAGACACGGCCCAGACUCCUACGGGAGGCAGCAGUAGGGAAUCUUCGGCAAUGGACGAAAGUCUGACCGAGCAACGCCGCGUGAGUGAAGAAGGUUUUCGGAUCGUAAAGCUCUGUUGUAAGAGAAGAACGAGUGUGAGAGUGGAAAGUUCACACUGUGACGGUAUCUUACCAGAAAGGGACGGCUAACUACGUG